rnacentral:rRNA from 1 species
AUUGAACGCUGGCGGCAGGCUUAACACAUGCAAGUCGAGCGAGCGGCGGACGGGUGAGUAAUGUCUGGGAAACUGCCUGAUGGAGGGGGAUAACUACUGGAAACGGUAGCUAAUACCGCAUACCAUCAGAUGUGCCCAGAUGGGAUUAGCUAGUAGGUGGGGUAAUGGCUCACCUGGGCGACUAUCCCUAGCUGGUCUGAGAGGAUGACCAGCCACCCGGGAACUGAGCAACGGUCCCGCCUCCUACGGAUGGCAGCAGUGGGGAAUAUUGCACAAUGGGCGCAAGCCUGAUGCAGCCAUGCCGCGUGUGUGAAGAAUGCCUUCGGUUUGUAAAGCACUUUCAGCGGGGAGGCGUUACCCGCAGAAGAAGUACCGGCUAACUCCGUGCCAGCAGCCGCGGUAAUUC